ACCCUUUAAUGUUUGAUGUUCUAACGUGGACCCGUAAUCCGGGUUGCGGACAGUGUCUGGUGGGUAGUUUGACUGGGGCGGUCUCCUCCUAAAGAGUAACGGAGGAGCACGAAGGUUGGCUAAUCCUGGUCGGACAUCAGGAGGUUAGUGCAAUGGCAUAAGCCAGCUUGACUGCGAGCGUGACGGCGCGAGCAGGUGCGAAAGCAGGUCAUAGUGAUCCGGUGGUUCUGAAUGGAAGGGCCAUCGCUCAACGGAUAAAAGGUACUCCGGGGAUAACAGGCUGAUACCGCCCAAGAGUUCAUAUCGACGGCGGUGUUUGGCACCUCGAUGUCGGCUCAUCACAUCCUGGGGCUGAAGUAGGUCCCAAGGGUAUGGCUGUUCGCCAUUUAAAGUGGUACGCGAGCUGGGUUUAGAACGUCGUGAGACAGUUCGGUCCCUAUCUGCCGUGGGCGCUGGAGAACUGAGGGGGGCUGCUCCUAGUACGAGAGGACCGGAGUGGACGCAUCACUGGUGUUCGGGUUGUCAUGCCAAUGGCACUGCCCGGUAGCUAAAUGCGGAAGAGAUAAGUGCUGAAAGCAUCUAAGCACGAAACUUGCCCCGAGAU
rnacentral:rRNA from 1 species